rnacentral:rRNA from 1 species
CCUACGGGUGGCAGCAGUGGGGGAUAUUGCACAAUGGGGGGAACCCUGAUGCAGCGACGCCGCGUGUGGGAAGACGGCCCUCUGGAUUGUAAACCACUGUUUCCAGGGACGAAAAUGACGGUACCUGGGGAGGAAGCACCGGCUAACUACGUGCCGGCAGCCGCGGUAAUACGUAGGGAGCGAGGUUUGUCCGGAAUCACUGGGUGAAAGGGGAGCGUAGGCGGGGAUGCAAGUUGGGUGUCAAAACUAGCGGCUAAAGUGGUAGUCGCACUUAAAACUGCAACUCUUGAGUGAAGUAGAGGCAGACGGAAUUCCUAGUGUAGCGGUGAAAUGCGUAGAUAUUAGGAGGAACACCAGUGGCGAAGGCGGCCUGCUGGGCUUUUACUGACGCUGAGGCUCGAAAGUGUGGGGAGCAAACAGGAUUAGAUACCCCGGUAGUC